AGCUCAGCGGUAGAGUGCAUGCCUUGUAAGCAUGAGGCCCUGGGUUCAAUUCCUCAG
rnacentral:tRNA from 1 species